AUUGAACGCUGGCGGCAUGCCUUACACAUGCAAGUCGAACGGCAGCACGGGUGCUUGCACCUGGUGGCGAGUGGCGAACGGGUGAGUAAUACAUCGGAACGUACCUUAUCGUGGGGGAUAACGCAGCAAAAGUUGCGCUAAUACCGCAUACGCCCUGAGGGGGAAAGCGGGGGACCGUAAGGCCUCGCGCGAUUAGAGCGGCCGAUGUCUGAUUAGCUUGUUGGUGAGGUAAAAGCUCACCAAGGCGAUGAUCAGUAGCUGGUCUGAGAGGACGAUCAGCCACACUGGGACUGAGACACGGCCCAGACUCCUACGGGAGGCAGCAGUGGGGAAUUUUGGACAAUGGGGGCAACCCUGAUCCAGCAAUGCCGCGUGAGUGAAGAAGGCCUUCGGGUUGUAAAGCUCUUUUGUCAGGGAAGAAACAGCAGCUCUAACACAGUCUGCGAAUGACGGUACCUGAAGAAUAAGCACCGGCAAACUAUGUGCCAGCCGCCGCAGUAA
rnacentral:rRNA from 1 species